UGCCCCGCGGCCCCGCCCCGGCCGCCAGGUAAGCGGGUGUUGCUGCCGAAAUGCGGAAUUUGUAAACAAAUGUUCUUAAGAAAGGAUGUUCUUUGAUGUCUGAUAUUCGUGAGCUUUCAGGCCUAAUGAGUAAGAAGGGAGAUUUAAUCCCUGAAACAGGCAGCUGUCAAGCAAGCGGUGAGUGAUGUGCCGGCGUUAGAAGGACAAAUUAGCUGUCGGUAGAAUUGCCUUGUCAAGGUUCAGGGCUGGAUAUGUUUCAAUGAUAUCCGACCUCGGGGGAGGCUAACUAAGCCUGGGAAGAAGGAGUUACCACUGAUAGUGGACACAAAGAACGCAGAAUUCACGGGCCACAAGAACAUGCGUCAGAACUCCCGAGAUAAGGAAGAAACUGCUCAAGAGAACUUGGCGACAGGCUAGAAGGUAAUUCCGGCAGGGGGAGAUGUGUGACCGACUCACGGACCACCGACUCAAGGGAAGAGAAGCACUGAGCAUGCGGGCUCAUUAGCAUGAGAAGCAAGAGAGUAAUUAACCAAUGGAAGAUAGACUACUAAUUAGUAAGAGAAGGAGGGAACUUGUAGUCGAUGAACAUUAGCGCUUUUGUUGCUAAAAUGUAUGGUAUGAUAGAGAGAAGUUUUGGGAGUCGUCGUGAAGGCUUUGUGGAUUUCUCACCCAGCAGCGCUCUCUGUGCAGAGCUGUCAAUAAAUCAAAUACCUCGACUCUGUGUGUGGACUGGCCUCUUGCACACCGGCUGAAAGGACCUUAUUUGGGGACAAGGCGGGGCACCCCUCCUGCACUCCACGCACCAAGGCCUUCUCUCUGCUACGAGGACUGCUCCUUCACGCCAUGAAAAUUAUCACCCUGUUCCUCUGCCCCUCAUCUUUCACCUCCCCCAGCAAGUUCUCCGGGGUUCUGCUCCCGCGGUGCAAGGAAGAACAUUUAUAUGAAUGUGUUUAUGCAACCAUAUGAAUUUCUGUGGGAAUGGUUCUGCUUCUUCCUGCCUGGACCAUAAAUGGUGUUGGUUGUUUUGUGCUUCUGUUGUCAAUGGAAGGCUGGAACGGUAUAUACCAACCAUUGCUCUUUUUCCUUGGUGAUUCAGAAGCAAAUAAUCGACUGAAGAGUAAAUUAUCUCACAAUGGAAAAGAAGGCAGUAUUGAGGAAAAGUCUUCCUUGUCAUCUAGGUCUGCAAAAUAUUUAAUUUUGGGUAAAAGUUUCUUGCACAUCACUUACUUAAAAAGUUGCAGUCAAUUCCUUAGUCAGUUCCUGUUCAAUUACAAAUAAAUCUUCAUUCCUAGGAGGUUGGCCUGAGUUUUAGCCUCUGCUGAUGUAAAAAAUAAUUCUGAAUCCAUGUCAUAAUGUAUUUUAUAGCAGCUCUACUCUGUUCAGCUCUGGUACAUAGAUUUGUUCAUCUCCCUUUUCAACUGUAACUUUACUAAUAAAGUACUUAUUCUACUGCAAGAUCA